GCGAGAUUAGUUUAGUGGUAAAAUGGGUGCUUCCCAAGCAUCAGACGCGAGUCCGAUUCUCGCAUCUCGCACAA
rnacentral:tRNA from 4 species